GACGAACGCUGGCGGCGUGCUUAACACAUGCAAGUCGAACGGAAAGGCCUGCUUUCCCUUGUGGAUUGCGGGUACUCGAGUGGCGAACGGGUGAGUAACACGUGAGUGAUCUGCCCCCAACUUGGGUAUAAGCCUGGGAAACUGGGUCUAAUUCCCGAUAGGACUGCAGGGUGGUGCCUGUGGUGGAAAACGAUUUUCUAGUGGUUGGGGAUGAGCUCGCGGCCUAUCAGCUUGUUGGUGGGGUAAUGGCCUACCAAGGCGGCGACGGGUAGCCGGCCUGGGAGGGUGGGCGGCCACAUUGGGACUGAGACACGGCCCAGACUCCUACGGGAGGCAGCAGUGGGGAAUAUUGCACAAUGGGCGGAAGCCUGAUGCAGCGACGCCGCGUGGGGGAUGACGGCCUUCGGGUUGUAAACUCCUUUCGACCGCGAGGAAGCCACCUGGUUGGAAGGGUGGUGACGGUAGUGGUAGAAGAAGCACCGGCUAACUACGUG
rnacentral:rRNA from 1 species